GGAAGACGUUACUUAAGGCUGCUUUCCAAAGCAGUGAAAAAAUCUGUGAGACCUGAAACCCCACGGGCCUACGAUGAAAUACCUGGAAGCAAUCUGGCGAGUCAGAACAGCUGUGCUGAUGGCUGGGACUCUCUCAGGACAGCUUGGAAGGCCCGACCUGGCAGCUCUCUGGGCCCACCGGAGCUCUCCUGCCUUGUCUUGUACCUGCCUCUCUGUGCUCCAGCCACACUGCCAUCUCUCCGUUUCUCAAAUGCUACGUAAAGCCGCAUUCUCUUCCCACAGAUAGAAAAUGCUGUGCUCGCCCUUGAAAAGCCUCUCUCUCCAAUGAAUUCCCACUCAUUCCUCAAUUUUCAGUUGAAGCAUCAUUCAUUCCUUUGGGAAACCUUUUCUAGCCCCUAACACCCUGCAUUGGUCCUAACAUACCUUGGCAUGACUGCUGUAGCUCUGUAUCUGCGUGGGUACUGACGGAUGUGACUCCAGGAGGGAGGGUGUGCAGCCUGUGGCUCACCACGGUAUCCCCAGCACCUGUCUCUCUGCUUGCCUAUUAACUUCCUAAAUUAGUGCAUUUUCCCCUGUCAUUUAAAAAAAAACUUUAAUUUUUUCAUUUGUAUAUAUCGACAGAGCACAAGUACAGAUUUCUUGCAU
rnacentral:lncRNA from 1 species